UCCCUGGUAGCUCAGUUGGUAAAGAAUCUGCCUGCAAUGCAGGAGACCCUGGUUUGAUUCCUGGGUUGGGAC
rnacentral:tRNA from 1 species